rnacentral:rRNA from 1 species
CUUUUACAAUGAAGAGUUUGAUCCUGGCUCAGGAUGAACGCUAGCUACAGGCUUAACACAUGCAAGUCGAGGGGCAUCAGGAAGAAAGCUUGCUUUCU